rnacentral:lncRNA from 1 species
AGGAAGCCAAAGUAUCUGAUGCACUGGAGAAUGAAAACCCGUUCAAAAUCAGAAGUAUAGAGAAGUUUUCUGUAAAAUGGAAAUGAGUAUCAUGAAGUUUUAAAUGAACAGUGUAAAACAGAAGACAUCAGCAUUCAUUAGGUCCCAGACCUCUUUGAGAAUCUGAUGAAAUUCUGGACAACCUCUCCUCCCACAAACAAGAUGUACUAGAAUACCUACACAUAAAAUGUUGCAUUCAAUUUUGGAAUGUGAAGAGAUCAUUUGAAGCCGAUCCAGAGGCCUCUAAGGACUUGACUGGUGCAGUAUUGGUGGCUGCUGGGUCAGAUGAGCUCCCUGCUAUUCCAAGAAACAAUACAUGUUUGCAGCCACUAAGAUUUGAGGACUUUUGUUAUUACUGCCUAUCCUGACAGACUCAGGUGCUACAACUAUUUAAGGGCUGACCGGAUCUCACUCUGGCACCUAGACUGGAGGGUACUGGCAUGAACUCCUGGGCUCAGAUGUCCUCCCACCUCCACCUUCUGAGUAGCCGGAAUUACAGGAAUGAACCAUCAUGCUCAGAUUUCAAGCUCCCUGAAGAUGAAGGCUGAAUCCUACACCUCGCUUGUAUCCUCCAUGGCUCAUUGAACAAGUGCUAGCUAGCUACAUGGAGACUGCUCAAUAAAUAUUGAAUAACUCA